GUGGUGGAUGGGUGGGUGGUGGAUGGGGCUGGCUGACUGACGGGGGGAGGACACUGAGAUGAGAACUGAGAAUAGAAGGGAGGAUAAAUAUUUAAUGUGUUGAGCAGCUGGAGGGGAGCUGGUAUGGAGCGGAGGAAGAGAGGAGGAGAGGAAGAGAGGAGGAGAGGAAGAGAGGAGGAGACGAGGAGAUGAGGAGAGGAGAGGUGGAGAGGAGUGUAGCGUACUGCGUUGCUCAUGUGAAGCCGACCCUUCCCUUCAUAUUCAUCUCUCUUCUUCAGGGUUAUUCCCUCCGUCUAUAACGAUAUAUAUAUAUAUAUAUAUAUAUAUAUAUAUAUAGACCUCCACAGCUAAAGGUGGGUUGAUGGUAAAACAUAUUCUAUUUACUGUGUGAUUCUAUUGGAGAAAGGUAAUGGUACUAAAACAGAUGUGAUUAUGAACCAUUCUAGAUGACAGCACAAUAAUUUGUAACACACAAGUAAUUUAACACCCUUGCUUAGACAAUUACUACUGCCCUCUUCUGACUCCUCCCACUCUUCUGACUCCUCCCACUCUUCCGACUCCUCCCACUCAUCUGACUCCUCCCCCUCGUCUGACCCCUCCCCCUCUUCUGACUCCCCCCUCUCUUCUGACUCCUCCCACUCGUCUGACCCCUCCCACUCGUCUGACUCCUCCCUCUCUUCUGACUCCCCCCUCUCUUCCGACUCCCCCCUCUCUUCCGACUCCUCCCUCUCUUCCGACCUCUCCCUCUCUUCUGACUCCUCCCUCUCUUCUGACUCCUCCCUCUCUUCUGACUCCACCAUCUCUUCUGACCCCCCCUCUCUUCUGACUCCUCCCACUCUUCUGACUCCCCCUCUCUUCUGACUCCUCCCUCUCUUCUGACUCCCCCUGUCUUUUGACUCCCCCCUCUCUUCUGACUCCUCCCUCUCUUCUGACUCCUCGCUCUCUUCUGACUCCCCCCUCUCUUCUGACUCCCCCUCUCGUUUGACUCCUCCCUCUCUUCUGACUCCUCCCUCUCUUCUGACUCCCCCCUCUCUUCUGACUCCUCCCUCUCUUCUGACUCCCCCUCUCUUCUGACUCCCCCUCUCGUUUGACUCCUCCCUCUCUUCUGACUCCCCCUCUCUUCUGACUCCCCCUCUCUUCUGACACCCCCUUUUUCCACUCCCUUUAUAUACAAAUUGAGCACCAGUUUAUCUCUGACAUGGGUCACAUGACCACUCUUUGUACUCUUUCGUGUGUGUGUGUGUGUGUGUGUGUGUGUGUGUGUGUGUGUGUAUGUGUGUGUGCCAUCAAACCUCUGAAAGAGAACAUGGCAUUUUAUUGUAUUUUUUUAUUGCUGAAGGAUAUUUUGUAAUGUGACUUCAUAGGAGAGAGGGGACAUUUAAACUGAGGAUUCUGAAGACGAGGGAGUCUGUUGUAAAAUGCAGUUGUGUAAUGCUGAUUUCAGUGUAUCUGCAUUGUGACUCAGUGUUUGGGGAUAGGGACAGAUGAGUUUGAGGUUUACUGUGUAACCGUCCAGCCAGGAGAAUAGUGCCGUCCCUGUCGGGGAGGUGGUCACCUGGUCAAUGAAAACAUUGUUCUCUGAGUCCUAUUUUAAUCCUUUGAUCCCAUCUCUCCUUGCUACCAAGCCUUGUGUUUGACUGGACACACAGAUCAGUUAUAUAUUGAUCGAUAGGGAAAAGAGGAAAAUAAACUACUGUAACGAUUUUACUUUUUUUUUGGUUUCAACUUUGAAAAUGUAAAAUAGCUUUUCAACUUUCACAAUAUUUAAUUAAAGUUCCCUCUUGUCUGUGAA
rnacentral:lncRNA from 1 species